rnacentral:rRNA from 1 species
AAAAUUGAGAGUUUGAUCCUGGCUCAGGACGAACGCUGGCGGCGUGCCUAACACAUGCAAGUCGAGCGGAGAAUGCGAGAUGUUUACAUUGAGUAUUCUUAGCGGCGGACGGGUGAGUAACACGUGGGUAACCUGCCUCAGAGUGGGGGAUAGCCUUUCGAAAGGAAGAUUAAUACCGCAUAAGCUUGUAGCAUCGCAUGGUGCAGCAAGAAAAGGAGCAAUCCGCUCUGAGAUGGACCCGCGGCGCAUUAGCUAGUUGGUGAGGUAACGGCUCACCAAGGCCACGAUGCGUAGCCGACCUGAGAGGGUGAUCGGCCACAUUGGAACUGAGACACGGUCCAGACUCCUACGGGAG